rnacentral:lncRNA from 1 species
GGCAAAAACCAAAAAAAAUCACUAAAACACUAAAAUUAUAUUUUUCAUCUUCUGGAUAUGUUCCUAAAAACAGUGUUCGAAUAAAAGGCAAACUAAUCACCGGCGACUAAAUAAAAGACAAUGCUCUUUCAUUCAUUCAUCAAUAUAAUUAUUUAGCUUAACAGAACAAAAUUUGAAAACAGAUUUAAUCUGCAGACCUAAACAAAGUUUAAAAUCCAAUAACUCAACACAUUUUAAAUCCAGAUUCAUGUCUACAAUGGACUUAACAUACAUGAUACAACCAUUAAAAACACACUCAAUUUCAUCAAAACAUACUCAAUUUCUUGUACCCUAACAAAGCCCGAUUCAAAGGUACACAAACAUGAUACAACCAUUAAAACACACACUCAAUUUUAUCAAAACAUACUCAAUUUCUCAAAAUUUAUCGUAGCCCUAACAAAGAAACCUAACUCCCGAAACCGACUUAAACCAAGAACCCUAACCAUCUCAAUUUCUCAGAACCGACUCAAUUUCUCAAUAUUUCCAAACAUCACAGAACAGAUUCAAAUAUAUAUAUUUAGUGUGAUUGAGGGUUUAAAUUCAUCAAAACACAAUCAAUUUCUAUGCAAAUAUGCAAAUAAAGAUUGAAACCGCGUAACGAUGAAGAACGAGGAGAAAACGAAGAAGAAAACAA